UGUCGGCACAAUAACUAAAGAUGAACUAAGGAAUAUUCUAUAUAAAGGUAAAUUGAUAGAUUUUUUUUACCAUAGAUUUUAGUAAGUUUACUCUCUUGGGCUUCACACUCAUUGAAUUGGUUUCAAUAUUUUAGGAUAUCUACAUUUGUUGUUGAUACACUUAUAUGUGCGACCUCUGGUAACUUCUGGACAAUCAGCAGCAGUUUGACAAACAGGUAAUGCU
rnacentral:lncRNA from 1 species